rnacentral:rRNA from 1 species
GGGUAAUGGCCUACCAAGGCAACGAUGAGUAGCUGGUCUGAGAGGAUGAUCAGCCACACUGGAACUGAAACACGGUCCAGACUCCUACGGGAGGCAGCAGUGGGGAAUAUUGCGCAAUGGGCGAAAGCCUGACGCAGCAACGCCGUGUGAGGGAUGAAGGCUUUCGGGUCGUAAACCUCUGUCGGAAGGGAAGAACGGGCAUUGGUCUAAUAGGCCUUUGUUUUGACGGUACCUUUAGAGGAAGCACCGGCUAACUCCGUGCCAGCAGCCGCGGUAAUACGGAGGGUGCAAGCGUUAUUCGGAAUUACUGGGCGUAAAGCGCACGUAGGCGGCUUCGUAAGUCAGGGGUGAAAUCCCACGGCUCAACCGUGGGACUGCCUUUGAAACUGCAAAGCUUGAAUCCUGGAGAGGGUGGCGGAAUUCCUGGUGUAGGAGUGAAAUCCGUAGAUAUCAGGAGGAACACCGGUGGCGAAGGCGGCCACCUGGACAGGUAUUGACGCUGAGGUGCGAAAGUGUGGGGAGCAAACAGGAUUAGAUACCCUGGUAGUCCACACCGUAAACGAUGAACACUAGAU